UAGAAACAUCAUGGGGAAAAAUGCAAAAUACCUAUGAUUUCUGGAACAAGAUCCAAGAUGACAAAGAUAUUCCCUGCUUAUUCUGCUCAUGCCCGGGCUCCCCUGCCCACCCCCAGUGCGUUCAUGUGAUAUCAUGAAAAAGCAGCAGGGGUGGCAUGAACUUGCACACCAGGCUGCCCAGGCUUGAGACCCAGCUCUGCCACCUAGAAGCUUGGAGCCCCUGAACAAGCCGCAAUUCUGUGCCUUGGCUUUUCUGACUGCAAAAUGAGGAUAAUCACAGCCCCUGCCUCCAAAGUGUCCCGAGGAUCAAAUGAGUUGAUGAUACUUGCACGGCGCUCGGAUCGUGACAGGGUCUUGCUCUGUUACCCAGGCUGGGGUGCAGUGGCACCAUCAUAGCUCCAGGGGACCCUGGCUUGCCCCCCUCUGCCCUCAGCGCCCAGCAGAGAGCCUGGCACAUGAGGAGAGAGAGGUUUGAGGGGAGAGGAAGGAGAGGACAUUCACGCCCCAUGACUGGCUGCCCCAGGUGGUCAGAGGGACAGUUUGACCCGACUUCUCAUCCUCAGAGGAAUCCAGGGGUGGACUUCAGAGCUCACCUCCAAAAGAGAUUGGAAAUUUAAUCACGUACAGUGUCAAUAUGUACACCUACUAUGUACCCACAAAAAAUUAAAAAUAAUAAUAAAAAAAAGAGGCUGUUGCAAUAGCCCAGGCCAGAAAUUCUGGGACCUGAACUAGGAUUUGUGUGGAGAGGAGAAAAUGCCACUGAGGUUUCAAAUUUGGCGGGAUUUGGUGAUUGACUCAGCGAAAGGCAGAAAAAUUGUUUCUAAUCUUCACCCCCCAACACCGUGCCUUCUAACAAGGGCAGUUCCUGGUAAGGACAGGAUCUUUUGAUUGGAGAGCAAAAAGUCAACACCCUUGGUUAUUAUGGCUUUUGGCCAAAUUAUAGGCAAUAGCAGGCAAUGGAAGGAGGAAAAUGAGAGUCUGGAGAAGCAGGGCAGAGCCCACCUGCUCAACUAAGAGGGGACAGGGCUGUGAGGCACGGGUGCUCCUGAAGCUGAAGAAGCCAACAGUGCUGGGAGCUGCCUGGGGGUGGGAGGUCUCCAUAAGCCAGGAUUCUGGGUAUGAGUGGCCCAAAAGAGACCCUGGGAGAGAGGACAUCAGGGGAACAAACAGCUGAGGAGGUGGGCAUGACACAAACCCUUCUCCCAGCCCAGAGCCUCUCCAAAAGCUCAGGCCAGAUAUCCCCCUUUUCACAACACCGGGUAAGCAGAUUCUCUCUUGGGGAAUGAGAAGGGCACGAAGACCUGCUGAAGCCAGUGCAAUCCUGGAAAGUGCCUGGACAGCACCCCAGAAGAGAGGGUGACCUGGGUCACUGAAGACGGGGUGGGGGAUAACACCGUUAACGUGAUGAUACAUCAAUUGUCCCCAGACCACACCAGCGUCUGGAGUGAAUGAAGCGGGCACCCUAGCAGGCAAGGAGGAAGCCCUGCUUUGCUGGUCAUGCAUCCCAGGCUCCCGGAGUGCCCCUGGGAAUUUCCGGACACAUCCAUGCACUUGUGACCCAGGGCCAGAGCCAGGGGUCAUUUGGCUUUGUGCCCCCUCCAAAGCAGGGGUUUCCAGUGUAGCAAACUUGUGCCCCAAAUUCUCAGAGGUGUUUUAUUUGCAGCGCCUGUCCUCAGAAGAAUCAGACAUGAUCCAAAGGGGGCUGGUAGGGGACACUGAGACAGCAAGGCUGCACCAUGCCCAGUGUCGCCUGCCCUGCACAGGCUAGCAGGAGACUGGCACUGUGCUGCCCCUUCGUCCCAGCUGCCAUCUGCAUGGGCGGAAGAGUGCCCUGGGCCCUGGUGGUGCAAGGAGGGCGGGAGACAGACCCUCGCAUUCCUCUGGUCUCAGGGUCGUGGGCCUGGGUGGAGGGGGCACACACCCUACUGGAACAGGGUGCUCCAGGCUGUGCCCAUGGCCUCGACACUCUGCACUUCUUAAAGGGGAAAUGACAAACGGCAGCCUGUUCUUUCUCUUCCUCACCCUCUGAAACUACUUCCUGCCCAGUGAAUUUCUGAUACAUUUUAAUUGAAAAAUUGAUAUACAGAUAAAGCAAAUUGGGGGUAGGUUGGAAUGAAUAGUUGGAGCACAGAGGAUUUUUAGGACAGUGAAACUACUGUGUCUGAUACUAUAAGAGUAGAUGUGUGUCAUCUCCAUCUGUCCAGACCCAUAGAAUGCACAACACCAAGUGUGAACCCUAAUGUAAACUGUGGGCUCUGGGGGAUAAUGAGGUGUCAAUGUAGGUUCAUUGUAACAAACAUGCGGGCUGCUGCGGUGUGGGAUGUUGAUAGUGGGGAAGGCUGUGUGUGUGGCAGGGGGAGGGGUUUUAUGGGGAAUUCACUGUCCCCCUCAACUUUGCUGUAAACCUA